rnacentral:snRNA from 1 species
GUGCUUGCUUUGGCAGCACAUGUACUAAUUUGGGAAUGAUAUAGAGAAGAUUAGCAUGGCCCCUGUGGAAGGAUGAUGUGCAAAUUCACGAAGCAGUCCAUAUUUUU